AUUGAACGCUGGCGGCAUGCUUUACACAUGCAAGUCGAACGGUAACAGGCCGCAAGGUGCUGACGAGUGGCGAACGGGUGAGUAAUGCAUCGGAACGUGCCCAGUCGUGGGGGAUAACUACUCGAAAGAGUAGCUAAUACCGCAUACGAUCUAUGGAUGAAAGCGGGGGACCGUAAGGCCUCGCGCGAUUGGAGCGGCCGAUGUCAGAUUAGGUAGUUGGUGGGGUAAAGGCUCACCAAGCCAACGAUCUGUAGCUGGUCUGAGAGGACGACCAGCCACACGGGGACUGAGACACGGCCCAGACUCCUACGGGAGGCAGCAGUGGGGAAUUUUGGACAAUGGGCGAAAGCCUGAUCCAGCAAUGCCGCGUGCAGGAAGAAGGCCUUCGGGUUGUAAACUGCUUUUGUACGGAACGAAACGGCUCUGGUUAAUACCCGGGGCUAAUGACGGUACCGUAAGAAUAAGCACCGGCUAACUACGUG
rnacentral:rRNA from 1 species